UGGACUCGAAAUCGUGACCUGCUAUUUAUAAUGCUCACACGGAGCUAUCACUUAUGUGAAACACUUAGGUGGCAAAACUUAUCAUGAAAUGACGGUUAUUAUUUUGAAACAUACCAUUAGUAAUUUUCUUUCUACCCUAUACUGUUGGAAUGGAAGAGGUG